UGCUUCAGCAGAAUACAGAGCACGAACAAUACAGAACAAUACAGAGUUUACCAUGGCCCCUGCCAAAGGAUGACAUGCUGAUUCAUGAAGUGGCCCAUAUUUUU